GACGUAGGGCGCGAGCGUUGUCCGGAUUUAUUGGGCGUAAAGAGCUCGUAGGCGGCUUGUCGCGUCGACUGUGAAAACCCGCGGCUCAACUGCGGGCCUGCAGCCGAUACGGGCAGGCUAGAGUUCGGUAGGGGAGACUGGAAUUCCUGGUGUAGCGGUGAAAUGCGCAGAUAUCAGGAGGAACACCGGUGGCGAAGGCGGCCCUCCUGGACGGUGACUGA
rnacentral:rRNA from 1 species